rnacentral:snoRNA from 1 species
CCAACGUGGAUACCCCCGGGAAGUCACUCUCCCCGGGGCUCUGUCCAGGUGGGGAGCAUAGGGCUCUGCCGGUGAUGUACAGUCCCUUUCCACAACAUUGGAGAGAAGGCCGGGCCUUGAGUAUGCGCCUCCAUAUUCCUACAGCUUCUCAGAGUCUUGUGGACAAUGACUGAGGAGACAAACCAUGAAGGAAAUAUCU